rnacentral:rRNA from 1 species
GUGGGGAAUAUUGGACAAUGGGGGGAACCCUGAUCCAGCCAUGCCGCGUGUGUGAAGAAGGCCUUUUGGUUGUAAAGCACUUUAAGCGAGGAGGAGGCUACCGAGAUUAAUACUCUUGGAUAGUGGACGUUACUCGCAGAAUAAGCACCGGCUAACUCUGUGCCAGCAGCCGCGGUAAUACAGAGGGUGCAAGCGUUAAUCGGAUUUACUGGGCGUAAAGCGCGCGUAAGUGGCCAAUUAAGUCAAAUGUGAAAUCCCCGAGCUUAACUUGGGAAUUGCAUUCGAUACUGGUUGGCUAGAGUAUGGGAGAGGAUGGUAGAAUUCCAGGUGUAGCGGUGAAAUGCGUAGAGAUCUGGAGGAAUACCGAUGGCGAAGGCAGCCAUCUGGCCUAAUACUGACACUGAGGUGCGAAAGCAUGGGGAGCAAACAGGAUUAGAAACCCGAGUAGUCC